UGAGACCCAGUGCCGACUAAUUUAAUUAAGAAGAUCUCUGCUGGAAGGUGUCUGGGAAAGAAUUUUCUUCUUAAAGAGAGAUGGAUGAAGAAAGUUCUACAGUGGAACUCUAUCAUAUGUGCAUUAAACUGAAUUGAAAUCAUACGACUCAGCAAAAUCAACAUAACAACUGAUGACAACAAAAACAGCCAUAUAAACAAAAACUGUUGGGCAUUUUAAAAAUACAGAAUGGCUCAAAACUUAAA